UACUUUUGCAGCGCUUUUGGUUUCCGGCGUUUUGUGCCGGAAUUAAAAGGGAAUGCAGUGUAAUUCUGCAACUGUCCCGCAGCUGUAAGCUCUGUAACGGUUUUUAAUUCUAUGCCACUGUUUUUAACUGAAUGGGAAGGCUAAAUAACCGGGAGUAAGUCAGAAGACCUGCCACAUGUAUAUAAUUUCA
rnacentral:ncRNA from 2 species